rnacentral:rRNA from 1 species
CAGUAGCCGCGGUAAUACGAAGGGUGCAAGCGUUAAUCGGAAUUACUGGGCGUAAAGCGCGCGUAGGUGGUUCAUUAAGUUGGAUGUGAAAGCCCUGGGCUCAACCUGGGAACUGCAUCCAAAACUGGUGAGCUAGAGUACGGUAGAGGGUAGUGGAAUUUCCUGUGUAGCGGUGAAAUGCGUAGAUAUAGGAAGGAACACCAGUGGCGAAGGCGACUACCUGGACUGAUACUGACACUGAGGUGCAAAAGCGUGGGGAGCAAACAGGAUUAGAUACCCGAGUAGUCCCUGUCUCUUAUAC